UCCCUGGUGGUGUCCAGUGGUUAAGACUCUGUGCUUCCACUGCAGGGGGCCCAGGUUCAACCCCUGGCUAGGGAA